rnacentral:lncRNA from 1 species
UAACAGUCAAUCCUUAAGUUUAGAUUGUCAGAAGCCUUAACUUGUGAUUUAAUAAUUUUCAGGUAUGGGCAACAUAAGAUAGAAGAAAAGCCCAAGACCUCUAUGUUUUGGUUAUGAAUGGAAACCCUCACACAGUAGUUCAUUUUAACAUUACAGUCUUCACAGCAUGAAAGAAUAUAGCACAGAUGGUUUACAAGAAAAGUUUUCUGACCAAAGUUGAGGAGAUAUGGCAAUCCGGCUUUUACACUAAGGCACGUUGUAACAGAGUGGAGCAGCUCUGUGCUACAGCCAAGUGUUAAGCUCAGUGUUGCAGGUAAGUACCACAGCUUGGAAGGCACAGCUGAGCUUUACAGCACUGGGUUGCAGCUCUGGGUUGCAGCUCUUGCAAUUUGAAGACUCGAGGGUCCAAUGGUCACUCAAAAAGGUGGAUAUAAACCUCUAGUAC